rnacentral:sRNA from 1 species
UGUUGCAAUAGUUUUUCGUACUUUCAAUAGCUUAUCCACCAUUUCAUUUAAUUUCGUUGGCUGUGAAGUUGACUCAAAAGGUACUUCAGGAUUGUAGCGUUGUGUAUCUGUUCCGGGUGUCAUCACUAACUGUGUAUAAUCACCGAUACGGUCACCCAUCCAACAAUGGCGA